GGGCUGCCAUUUUGGCAGUUCCGGCAGGUGAGGAAAGUCCGGGCUUCAUAGGGCAGGAUGCCGGAUAACGUCCGGUGGAGGCGACUCCAAGGCUAGUGCAACAGAAAUAUACCGCCAGCUUUAUAUGGGCUGGUAAGGGUGGAAAGGCAGCUUAAGAGACUACCGUCCGCCUGGUAACAGGCGGAGCCAUGUAAACCCCAUCCGAAGCAAGACCAAACAGAGAGCGAUAGACUUGCCCGGUCUGCUUUCAGGUAGGUCGCUUGAUGCGGCUGGCAACAGCCGUACUAGAUAGAUGACCGUUCAACGACAUAACCCGGCUUAUCGUUUUGCUU
rnacentral:RNase_P_RNA from 1 species